UGACUAAUGGUGGUUCACAUUUUAUUUAUGAUGCCUUUCGUAAAAUGCUUGCUAAGUAUCUAUACCUAUACUAAUCAUAGACUCCUAAGAAAUUACCACGUUAAUUAGAAAUUAGAGCCGUUAAUCUGGUGGGACCAGACUAUUAUGGUGUAGAUUCACUUAAAAUUUUGGUUCGUUGCAAAAAAAACGCUCGGAAGCCCACGACUUUUUUGCAUCGGUCGUAAUAACGAAUCCAUCUAAAAUACGAUUAUAGUUUUACUACUAACCCAUCCAUUAUUCCCAAAAAAAGCAAAUCUUUAAAUUUCAAAGAAAAACUAAAGCAAUCUUUAUCUCUUUCGCGACCAAAAAAAACUCAACCUGCUCAUAUACUCCAGCCGUAUCGUUCCAUAAAAACAAAGGAAAAAAAAAUCCAUAGCGUCUUUCCUUCGGCCCGAGCAGCCGCGCCGCCGGAGCUUGCGAGCCCCGCCGCCACCUCGACUCCUCCGCGUCUGGUGCGAUGCCGGAGCAUCCAUCGCACCUGGCGAGCUUACCAUCGAGAAGGAGCCGCCGCGUCGUCCUCCUGCUUUGAAUCUUCCCGUCCUUCCCUGUUCCUCUCUCACCUCUCUCUGCCUUGCCUCCACAGGGACACCGGGACGCCGGCGGCAUGCGGAACGACGCCGCCCCAACUCGAUCCACGCCCUCCUCCAUUGCCUGCUCUCCCGCCACUAGUCCUCGCCUCGAAUCAGUCGUGCUGGCAGCCGUCCUUGCCAGAUCCUAGCUUGGUCGCCCGCUGAAAGAUCCAGCGCCCUUGUGCCUCUCACUGUUGAUGGCGGUAGGAACGACGGAGCCAUGCAUGUGUCGGCGCCCAUGUGGUACGAGCUGAGCGACCGCCUUGCGGAGCGGCUGCAGAGCUGCAGCGCGCCCUGCCUCGAGCAGCACGCAUGGGUGGCGGCUGAGACGUCAGAGGAGCUUCAGCAGAAGGCGGUGAUCCAAUAGUACUCCUUCCAGUACAACACUAACCUAUGCAAAGUGGACCUUUCUUUACCCUGCCCAGCUCCCAUCAUUGAUCCGUCCAUGCUUGAGGUAAUGUGUACAUAGAACGAGGAUGCCAAGCCAAAUUUGUUGAACGAGGAUGUCAAGUUUCAGGUAAUAUUGCUGCUGGCCCAACUGUUCACCUUUUAAAACCGUUUUUUUGUGACAGUCGCCUCUGUAUCAACUCAACAGGGAAGUAUCUAUUUGUUAGUGUUAUUUCUGCAAUUUUGUAAGCCAGAUUUGUGCCAAGUGCAUUGCAUAAUAUAUCUCUAAUAGGUCCAUUGCUAUUUCUGUGAUCCUCCAUCAAUUUUUAUUACAAUAGAAAAAUGGUCCUUAACACAUAUAUAGACAUAGUAUGCACUGGGAAACUAAUAUAUAUGAUGGUUGAUAACAAUUACUUCAGGGUAUCCAUUCUGCUAUAUUUUACAUACUCAACAAAAUUGGUGACAUGUAAUCUGGUAGAUAAAACAGUCUGAUAUUUUUUUUUCUUUUGCAAGUUUAGUCCGAGAUAUUCUCUUCUUCCCUACAAAUAAUUCUGUAUUGAUGAGUUAUCAUUCAAUGUGAUUCAGUUUCCAGCCAUAGAUUAGGUGCAUGGGUGAACUACACGAUUCACAGAAUAAAAAACUGCAUCAAGGAUUAAAUUUUACAUGCGUGAAGCAUUUUACAGUAAAUUUCCUAUUAUUCAUCAGCUAGCGGAAUGAACGGACACUGUAUGACAAGGUGAACAAGACACUAAAUAUCACAAGUCGUAAUAAUUCCAAGCUAUUUCUACAAAAGCAUUUCACUAGAAUAUGUUGUGAUUACCUUUUUUCUUAAGUUUCAGAAGGUUAUCUUGGAUUGAAAUGACAAUUUUUAACUUUUCACCUUUUUUAAUAGCUCUGAAGACCAUUAGAAAAUUGAACUGGCGAUGAGUUCAAUCAGGUCAAAAAUUGUUGGUCAAACAUGAAAGGAUGCACAUUCGUUUUUGAAGACUCAAAAAAACAUUUCAUGAAGCAGCCUUGACGUAUCAGUCAAGUCUCACUUUUUUUAUUCAUUGUUUGCCAUUUGCAUGGUGUGUAUCAUUUUUUGUUGUUGUUAGAAGGCAGACUACCAGAAAGUGUUUCCAGCUGAUUAUAAUUCUGUUCACCAUAGAUAUCUAAAGUUUGUGGUUCAAUUUAUGAACUGCACUGGUCUAGAUACUAUUGCUGAAAGUUGAUGCUGACACCCAGUAAGAUCCUCCUGGAGCUGCCUUCUCUGGCAUAUCUCCAAUCAUGCAUCUAAUAAUUCACAUCAUAAAUGUUAAAUUUCUGAUAGGCUUACUAUACACACAUGUUUCUGGAUCUUACAGAAUAUCAGAUGUUAAAGAGUAAUAUAUCAGUUUACUCUACCUGAUACAUUAAUCUUUUUGUUUUUGUCUCUAUUCUAUUUAUGGUGGAAAAAAGGUUUCUUCACCAUUUGGUUGAUGUUUAAUUAAACCAUUUUUGUAUGCCUAUUGAAUAUAUGUUAAUUCAAUCGAUAUUCCAAAUAACAAUUUUAUAUCGUGCUGCUUACUACAGUUUUUUCCUCUGAAGAAACAACACCAAGGCACCCAGUGCCGCCAUGGCAACAUCCAUGAGACUAUAAGGAUCCUGAGGGAAAGAGUUGCGAGCCGAUGGCGCAUCUAUUCACACCAUGGACAUUCAUCGCCUGCUACUCGUGCGCCCACUCUGAAGGCAAGCAAGUAUGUAUAUUAAGUUUCAUGCUGCAGUUAACAUUUAAUCAUAUUAAUAUUAUCUCUGAUAUCCUGGACACAACAUAGAUUUUACAAGCAAAACUUUAUCAAGCUAGAUUUGUUGCACGUGCACUGCAUGUUGAUGUAAUUGGACUGGACUAAUUUUGUGUUUUUCCAUCAUGUUGAAAGUUGUCCCUAAUGUACGUACAUCGUGAUCAUCUGGCCUUGCCUGAUGCUUCGCUAUUUGAGGACCAUGCAGUAAAAUGAAUUUAAUUUCCAGUCUAUGUAGGAUUAUUAAUCAUCUGAUGCGGAAAGUUUAAGGAUUUCAGUAUAUGUUUAGUUACGCUCUUAUAGUUUAUGCAAGCGAAUUAGCAGAAAGUAAUUGCACGAACUAUUCUCAUUUUUCAUAAAUGUGAAGCAUGUACAACUAUUUUUCUAUUGCGAAAAAAGCAUUCCUUGCCCAGAGCGAGCCGACAAACAAAUAAGAGUGACUCCAAGCUUUUUUCAGAACUGAGUUAGUUACGUUAUCCGUAAGAGUAUCUUAGGUUUUAAGUGACAAUCUUCAAACUCUCUCUACUUUAUUAAUUUAAUUUUUAUAAAUACUACGAAGACUAAUUUUUUUUAAGAAUUAAACCAAUAAGUGUAUUUAGUGAAGCCAGAGGUCUAUUUGGAAUAUUCUUAGUGCAAGUCUGACAUGAAAGGAGGGCUGUUGUUUUCCCAUGACUUAAUGGUGCUUCAUGAAGCAACAGUCAUAAUAUCAAUCAAACUCGAAGCCUUUUUCUGAUCUCCUUUGUUGUAAAACAUUGUUUUGUAAUAUUCUUAACUUAAUUAAUGAUCACUUCUAUUAUGCUACAAUUUUAUGCGCACCAUGUUUUUAAAUGCAAUGGCCCACUACAAAACAGUUAACUAUACAUCAAUUUCUCUUGAAGUUAGAAGGAAGUCCCUGUUAUUUGUAAUUUAAUACGCAAUACAUCUAUGAAGUUUCUUAUUUCUUAUUUAACUCUUCUAUAGAAUAUGCUAUUCCUAAAGGUUGUUGCUGACACCCAAAAAGCUCCUCAGUAGAUAUGUUCCUCUCCAGCACAUCACUUGGUGGAUCUAGAGAGGCAACCAUCAGCUUAUGAAAACGGGCAAAUAAAUUGCCUGCUAUUGUUCCUUACCAAGAGUAAUUUCCCCAGUGCCUAACUUACAAUUUGAUUUGUUACAUCAUGAAAAGAUCUCCAUGAUGUGCAUAGGCAUGCGUAUUUUUACAUUGAAUCCGUUUUCCUAUCUUACAUCCAUGCAUUCACAUAUUAGAGGAUAAAUAUGUUGCAGGCUCUUAUCUACAUACAUGAAUGUGAACUCUGUAUCCAAUGGUAAAGCUCGCUUUAUCAAGUGACAUGGGCUAGACCUUUCCACAUAUAUACUUCAUUAGUUAUCACAGUAUAUAUUUUGCCAGCAUCUUUGUAUUAUUAAUGCACAGUAUAUUUCCAUUCUAAAUUCUUGACUUUAUCAAAUUUAUGUUGUAGGAAAAAAGAUCAUGGAAUAGCAUCGGAGGUCUAUAUUGUUGUUACGAUCUGCCUAUUUUGAUGCAUUGUAUUUGCAUACAUAUACCAAGUUUUUCGUUAAAUACUUAUAUUGCAGGACAAUGGAUGAUCGAGUAGCACUCAAGAUGGCAAGGUGGUUGAGAUUUAGGAACUGUAUCUUGAGGACUCAUGAUGCAGUUGUACGUCGAUACAUGUAGAUUUAUGACUAUUGCCAUAUCAUGCAUUGUAUCUAUCUAUCUAUGUCUCCUUAACUUCAACAUAUUUACCUUGAAUAAUUAUGGUUUAAUACAGGUUCUUUCUCUAUUA